rnacentral:rRNA from 1 species
CGGAGGUGGCAAGCGUUACUCGGAAUUAUUGGGUGUAAAGGGCAAGUAGGCGGAUUAAUAAGUGGGGGUGAAAUACUACGGCUCAACCGUAGAACUGCCUUCCAAACUAUUAGUCUUGAGUAUGUCAGAGGAAUACGGAAUUCUAGGUGUAAGGGUGAAAUCUGUAGAUAUCUAGAAGAACACCAGCGGCGAAGGCGGUAUUCUGGGACAUUACUGACGCUAAAUUGCGAAAGCUAGGGGAGCAAACAGAAUUAGAUACUCUGGUAGUCCUAGCCGUAAACGAUGAGCACUAGGUGUCAGCUCCUUAUGGAGUUGGUGCCGCAGCUAACGCAUUAAGUGCUCCACCUGGGGACUACGGUCGCAAGGCUA